CCUUUUUGCCGAAACUAAACAAGAAAUGGAAGAAAGAACACCUAAGGCAUUCGGCCAUCUUGUGUUGGGAAUUAAGGUAUGAUUUCAUAUGUUUUUCUUUGGAUUUUGAGAAAUUUAAAUUGGUUUUGAAGCUCCUAACAUGACCCAUGUGUAUGAUUUUGUGUUUGUGAUGCAUGAAGCAUUCGGUCAUGAGCUCAAUGGGUUACAUUGUGUAUGUUUUGAUAAUUUGUAAGGAGAAAUGUUUCUAAUUGAGUAUGAACAAACUAAAUUACCAUAUGUGGCUCAAAUGAGCUUGAGUAGUCGGCUAAUGAAGUUAGUUGAGUUAUAAUACUUGCUUAAUAAUGAAAAGAACAUGAGCUUAAUGCUCAAAUAGCAUUCGGCUUUGGACUAAGUUAAAUUAGUUAGAAAAUGAGUUCCAAGAUAGUGAAUUAUGUGUUAAAAGAGGGAUUUAGGUUGUAUAUACGUGUUUAGAUUGAAUACAAGAGGCUAUGUUAGCUAAUUGAGGGAUUCGGCCAUAGUAUUAUAGUGAAUAAUAAUUUGAACAAGGGUUUUAAUUGUAUGAUAGGUUUUCGGCUAUGGUUGAUUGGAUAAUAAAUUGGUGUGGAUGCUUUGAAUGAGAUAUGUACAAUUAUAAGUUAAAUUUAAGGUUUGUUAAAUUUGUCCUUAUCAUUGCCGAAUGAGUUUAAUGGCUAAAGAAAAUUGUUAAGUGCUUAGUUAAUGUGCAUUCGGUCAUUUAGGAUGAGUAUACAUUUGAUAAUGUUUUGAUGCUUUGAAAUGGAAUUUAAUUAUUAAAUGAGUUCUAAGCUUGUUGAAUUUUGAGAUGUGAUUGGGAGUAAAUUUGACAUGAGCAUAUUUUGCUAAUGACAUAUUGAUAAAUGUUGAGUUACGAUACCAUGAUAUUAACUUAAUUAUCAAGUUGCCGAAUGCUUAUAAGUAAGUGAAGUUAUGUUAUAAUUGAACUAAGUGUGGCUAGUAAAGCCUAUUUAGUUUUCUUGCUAUGUUUGACCAUAAAUAUGUCUGAGUGAUUCUGAUUAUAGCUUAACAUUUAGUUAAGCAUAAUUGAUGCUUUAAAUUAUAUAGUUGUAUAAUCGAAUUUGUUUUGGUUGAGUGUUACUUUGUUAAAGGAUUUUUAUUAUUAAGCUUAAAGGCAUUCGAUCAUGAGAUGGAUUAAGGUGAAUAAAUAUUUAUUUGUUUGUUUUAAUUAAGCUCAAGAGAAAAAGGAGCUAAAUUCGGGAAGGGGGAAAGCAAAAGUAGUUGAUUAAUCAAUCCGUAAUUGUGCAAUGACAUUCAAGGUAAGUCCUUAAGUAAUUAAAUUUGAUUUGCUGCGCGCUUAAGAUUUUAUAUAAUAUGGUAAGUAAUUAUUUGACCUUUACAAGUUCGAUUUGCAAUAAGUAUAUUGAAUUUAGGCUAUAAUGCCGAAUAUGAAAUGGAUGAUUUAUGUAUAUAAUGUGGCCGAAUGACUAUUAAGUAAUGAUGUGAAAGUGUGUAAUAUGUGUGUACAAUUUUAUUGUACUUGUUUGUAUAAAGUCGAAUGUGAAUUGAAUGGUAUAUAUGUGAUGACCGAAUAGCUAUUAUGAAACAAAGUCAAAGAAUGGGAUAUUUGUAUAAUAGAUGAAUUGUGACUAUUGUUCCUACUUGAUCGAGGUUGUGUGUGAAAUCAUUUGUGAAUAUGGCAUAUAGCCGAAUGGUUAUUAAAAGUGAAACUGGGAUAGUGAAAAGAUUAUGUGUUCUUUGUGUAUGAUUAUUGAACCGAAAGUUAAAGGGUAGGUGUACAUUUUGUGCUUAUAUUCGAAUGAAGCAAUUGAAUUACUAAUGUGAUAUGUUAUGUGAAAUGUGUUAACAUGUGAAUAAAUAUUCAAGACAUUGGAAAUGUAUCCGGGCUAAAGUCCCGCAGGCUUCAUGCUGGAAAUGUAUCCGGGCUAAAGUCCCGCAGGCUUCGUGCUGGAAAUGUAUCCGGGCUAAAGUCCCGCACGCUUCGUGUUGGAAAUGUAUCCGGGCUAAAGUCCCGCAGGCUUUGUGCUGGUAAUAUAAUUUUGGGUUUUAUACCUAGCAGGCCAAGUGCCGAUGAAUUUGAUAAAAGUAUACAAUUACAAGAUCCUACACUAAGAUGACAAAUUGAAAGUGUAUUACAUAUUAAGUUGGCCAGGUAUGUAUCAUGUACUCGUAUGCGAUUUUGAUUUGAAUUAAAUUAUAAAUGUACAAAGUGGUGCAUCUUGAAUAAGUGUUAUGACUAUAAAUGUGAUCGUGAUACAUUCGGUAAAUGUGUGAAGUUAUGUGAAGUGGUUCUAUGUUUAUAUUCAAAUAUAAAAACUUGGUCCUUGUGGAAAGGUUUGUGGAAGUAUAUGAUUUUAUUUUUAGGUGAUUACGAUCAUGGAAAAUUAAAUGUGAAUAUGAUAUUGUAUUUUAUUCGUUUCAAUUGAACUAAAGUUGAUAGUGAAGCAUUUUUAAUGCCUAUUUUAUAUGAGUUCGAUCUUGAAUGACAUGAUAUACAUGUUUAAAUAAUUUGAAUGCAAGGAAUGUGUGAAAGAGCAAAUUUGUAAUAAAUCUGCUUAGGACAGCAACAGUAGCGUGAUUUUAGAAAAUCACCAUAAAUUGUGGAAAUUGAAUUAGAAGCUGAAUAAAUUAUGUAAUUAAAUAUUAAUGAGUCUAGUUUCUUAUAAAAGAAACCGUGUAAGCAAAAGAAUUGUAGAUAAUGAGAUAUUUGAAGUGGCGUGAGAUAGAGUCAAAAUGACUUCGAAAUCCCCUGUUUUGUUUUUAGAAAAUCAUUUUAAAUUGUAAAAUGAUGAUUAUAAGAUAAAAUUUAUAUUUUUAGACUCCUUAAUGAGUCUAGUUUCAAAUGAAAUAAAUGAGAACAUAUUUUGAAUUCUGUACAAUGAGAAAUCUGAUUUAUAGUGAAGAAUGGUCAGAUUAGUCAAACAGUGAAAUAGGGAAAAAUUUAAGAAAAAUCUGGUAUUGAUUGGUCAAACCAAAAAUUCUGAAAAUUUUAGGGAUAUAAGAUAUAUGAGUCUAUUUUCAGUAAAAAUUAACGGCACAUGAUUUGGAGUUUUGUAGCUCCAUUUAUAAAUAAUUUAGUGACUACUGCUCAGAAAGAUAGCUUGUAGUGGUUAUGUGAUUAUGUUGUGAACGUUGAAUAAACUUGGUCAGAUGUAUGUAGUCCAUGUGAAAAUGAGGAGUGAUAAAUAACAGAUAAAUAUAUGCUAUAUGUGCUUGACAUGUGACCUUGUGGUUCCAUGAAUCAAACAUGGAAAAAUAUGACAUGUUGUGGUUGGUAUGUAAUGGAUAUAUGUGCAAGUUUUGUUCAUACGAAUGAAUUGACAGUUAUCACACGAAUUUAAAAUCAUAGUCAUAAGUUAUUUGUAAAUAUAAAUAAGUGAAGCUACUUAAUAAGGUUAUAUGAACUUAAGAGUACUAUGAAUGUAUAUGUAAUUGAGAUUAUUUUUUUUAAUUCGGAUUAGUGAUAUGGAAUUUCCAUAAUCAUUGAAAUGAUUUAUUUGCUUAAGGCUUACUAAGCUUUCAAAGCUUACUCUGUGUGUUUUUCCUAUGUCUAUAGGGCUUCAGAGAAAUUGCUUGGGUUGGAAGUCGAGGAGAUUUCAUCACACUAUCGAGUUAUCAUGUGAGUAGAUAAAGUUUGUAUAUCAUUAAGGUUUAAGGCAUGUAUAGAAUAGACUAAUAGUGGAAAGAUAUUUUGGUUAACGUAUUUAAGCCAUGCGAAUAUGACAUCUUUUGGAUGUUUAACUUUAUAAGUUUGAAAUUCGAUCUCUGGUUGUGUCUAGCAUUUAUUU
rnacentral:lncRNA from 1 species